CUCAAACUGAGGGAAUUGGGAAUCUGACUAACUUUACUUUGAUAACCCGUGUUAUUUUUCAAAUUAAUGCCUCCAUAUUUUCUCUCAGAAUAAAUAUUUCGUUAUAGACGAUUUUUUUAUAAAUACAACUAGUUUAUCUUCUAGACAAGUGUUGAAUGAAGUAUUGAGAAUUUUUUUUUAAAUGAAGUUUGUAAUCGAAGGCAACGGCGUUAAAGUGUUUGGAAAAGCAGUUCACGCCCUGUCGAGAAUUGGUGAUGAAAUGUGGCUGGAUCCUCUGGAGAAAGGGCUGGCAGUCAGAUCAGUCAACUCAUCUCAAUCAGCUUACGGGUGUUUUGUCUUCACACCUCUGUUCUUCAAGCAGUAUAUUCUUCAGUCAGACGCCCAGCAGGGCUGGAAAUCUGCUAAAUGCAAACUAAACAUGAAGUGUGUGCUUCCUCUUUUCCGCUGUGUCGCUUGGAGAGAACGCGGUGUGGACAAAUGCGAGAUAUCCAUCAAUAUCCCAAACAACAGGGUGAUGUUUCUGUUUCACUGCAGACAUGGAAUAACUAAGACCUAUAAUCUGGGGUAUCAGGAGUGUGAAGCUCUGCAGGCCGUGUUCCCAUCUCACCUCUGUCCAAACGUCCUGACAGCCCAGCCCAAACUCUUAAGUGACAUUGUGGUGCAUUUCCCUGUUUCACAAGAGGAGGUCACUCUCUCUGUUUCUUCUGCUAAGAUGUCUCUGAAGACCUUCUGUGACGAAGGAACCCGUAUUAAGGGCAUGAACACGGAGCUGUCGCUGCACCCCGAUGAGUUUGAUUACUUUCAGGUUGGAGUGGAUUCAGCAGUAACCUUCUGCCUCAAAGAACUGAGAGGGUUUUUGAACUUUGCAGAGUCACAUGGUCUACCAGUGUCUGGGCAGUUUGGUGUUGCUGGACAGCCUGUUGCUUUUAGUGUAGAAGACAUGAUGCUGGAGGCCAAUGUCGUGUUGUCCACCUUAAUGGAUCAAAACCAAGAAGGUUCUUUAUCCGCACCAGGUGAUGACAGAGCGGUCUGUCCUGUCGAGAACACCACGACUGCUGUAGCAGAUUUCUCAUUCGGGCCUGCGGAGGCAGAGGUUGAUGAUAUUGUGGGUAUCGCUGAUGAGGAACGGGUUGCGUCCAGUCAGAACAGUGAGGUCUUUAGCCCAGCGUUCCAUGUGAGCAAAAUGAUUCAGUUUAAGCCACCUGAAGAGACCUGGCCAAGAUCAAGCUCAAUUACACCGGUGACACCAGCCUCCAGCCAGUGUUUUAAGAUCCGCUCACUGCUCUUUGGGGCGGUGUUUAGUGACGGACAGGGCAGCAUCACUGGAGAUUUGCCCACCCUGGUGUGUGCCAGUGAUACAGAAGAGGAUGGAGGGGUAGACGACAGACUCUGGUAAUAGCGCACAGUUACCUGACACAGGUGUCUUGCUGUUUCACAUAUUCUUUAUAUAUCAAACAUGACACCGCUGCAAUGCAGGUCAGCAUGAAGUGUAUGAUUCAGGUCAUGGGAACGCAUUUCUGGUAAAACUAAACUCUGAUUCUUUUGUGUAGAGGG